GGAUCUGGAGUUUGGUUUUCAUUUUCAAAUUUGAAAUUGGCAUUUGAGAGAUUGGGAACGAAAAACCUAGAGAGAGAAGCUCCCACUCUAGCGACAAAAGCUCCCUCGUCGUUUCCACCGUCACGCGCCAUUCAACAGUUAUCGGACUGUUAUCCACCGCUGUGAGACCAAUUGAAAAGUGCUCAGCCCCCGAAAACGUCGAUUGGAAAGUACUCGC
rnacentral:lncRNA from 1 species